UAGGUGUUAUGCUCGUCUGCACCCAAGGGCUGUCAACUGCAGGAAGAAGAAGUGUGGCCACAGCAACCAGUUGAGGCCGAAGAAGAAGAUCAAGUGAUCUGUUUUGUUUUAUCACAACGAACUUAUUUAUCUGUGUGUGUUUUUUUUCUUUCAAAGACAUCUCAAGUGUUUUGACGCAAACUCGUUUCAGUGGAUUUUAAUCCUACAAGAUUUUCGUUAGUAAUCUGAAAUCUCUUUGCCUUU